CCGAGUUUACAACUCCCAAACCCCUGUGAACAUACCUAUACGUUGCCUCGGCGGAUCAGCCCGCUCCCGGUAAAACGGGACGGCCCGCCAGAGGACCCCUAAACUCUGUUUCUAUAUGUAACUUCUGAGUAAAACCAUAAAUAAAUCA
rnacentral:misc_RNA from 1 species